GUGAAACAGCUGAUAGGUGAAACCAUUAUAGGUGAACAUUACAGGUGAAACAGCUGACCAUUGAAACAGCUACAGGGGAAAUAGCUACAUGUGAAACAGCUACAGAUGAAAACAGCUACAACAGCUCAGAUGAAACAGCUACAGGUGAAAACAGCACAGGUGAAACAGCUACAGGUGAUUGAACAGCUACAGGUGAAACAGCUACAGGUAAAACAGCUACAGGUGAAACAGCUACAGGUGAAACAGCUACAGGUGAAACAGCUAUAGGUGAAACAGCUACAGGUGAAACAGCUACAGGUGAAAC
rnacentral:lncRNA from 1 species